CUGCUCGGUGUGGUCAGGCCGUGAGUGGUUGGUUCCAACAGGCGGGGGCCUAUGUUGGCGCCGCAGGGGGUGCCAGUCAACCCAUAUUCCAUCGCCUCCUCCUAUCUGCCCGCAGCAGCCUUCUUGUUUAUUAGGCAUCGCCCCAGCAAUCAACUCAUCUGAUCUUCACAGCAGCCCUGCAAGGAGCAGCAUUGUGGAAGGAACUAGGGAUGUUAAAAUGAGGAAGAUCCAGCCCCUCACCCUCAGAGACCCCACAGCCUCGCACAGAUGGAAGUUGACAGUGGAGCCACUGCCCCUCCAGACACACUGGGAGGUUCUGGCCUGUGGAGGAGCUCAUCGAGGUUUGAGUGAGGGAGCCGACAAAGAAGUGAAUGCAGGAACCAUCACUGGCAACGGGAGCAAGGGCCCUCCAUG